GAUGAACGCUAGCGGCGGGCUUAAUACAUGCAAGUCAAGGGGUAGCAAUACACCGGCGUACGGGUGCGUAACGCGUAUGGAACCUGCCCUUAUCUGGGGGAUAACUCGGGGAAACUCGAGCUAAUACCGCAUAAGAUAGUAAAGAGGCAUCUCUUAGCUAUUAAAGAUUUAUCGGAUAAGGAUGGCCAUGCGUAAGAUUAGAUAGUUGGCGAGGUAACGGCUCACCAAGUCUACGAUCUUUAGGGGCUCUGAGAGGAGAAUCCCCCACACUGGCACUGAGAAACGGGCCAGAAUCCGACGGGAGGCAGCAGUAGGGAAUAUUGGGCAAUGGGCGGAAGCCUGACCCAGCCACGCCGCGUGCAGGAAGACGGCCCUCUGGGUUGUAAACUGCUUUUAACUGGGAAGAAAGCAGCUCAUGCGUGAGAAUUUGACGGUACCAGUUGAAUAAGCCACGGCUAACUACGUGCCAGCCGCCGCAGUAACAC
rnacentral:rRNA from 1 species